rnacentral:misc_RNA from 1 species
UUCAUGCAAAGCGUGUUACAUUAAGUAAGUUAGACCUGACAGAACUAUUGCUUCCAACAUUCACCUCUUUUCCAUCGUAUCUGAACUUAACACGCAUAACAUAAACUCCUAACUUUAAUUUCUAAUAUAAAACUCCCUCUACAUUAAUUAAGUGAAUAUAAAAGCCCCUCUUCCUCCUUCCAGUUAACGCUAUUGACAUAGCAUCAAUUUUUUUUUUGAAUGAAAUUACUUUUCCACUCUCAAAUAAAAAUAACCCUAACUAUUCAUUCUCUCUUUUCUUUCUAUGUUUCUUCCUUACCACUCCAUUCCCCCUCUUUAUUCUCAUCCCCUUUUUCCCUCCUCUCUCAUGCACUCCUGUUUCUCUCUUGCCAUCCAUGGCUAUGCUUUUCAUGCCAAGGAUAGGUUCCUUCCAUCGCCAAUCCAAUCACCAAAUGGGCGCAUGAGCUUCUCUCUCUUUGCAAUGAGCCACAUCUUUUCUGGUGAAUUUUAUCAAUUAUAUUAUUUGAUCUCAUUUUUCUUCUCAACUUUGCUUGAGUUGCUAUUGUUUCAACAUCGUAAAAGCUCUUCAAUUUUGCAAUGAAGUCGAUGGAGUUCCUCAUAUGUUGAUUGUGAAAAUAAAUGUAUUUAAGAAAAUAUUUUUCUUUCUCUAACUAAUUAAAAAAUAAAUUAAAAAAAAGGAUGCAUGGCGGGUGUUAAGACAGAAGUUAUGUUUAAGGCACAUAAAUGUGUAAAAAUGUUGAUACUUGUUACACACAUAAGGCAUAUCUACUAAACCUUAUUGAAAUUUCUAGGAAACUUAAGGAAUUUUCUCUUAAAUUUAUCAGAAAUUAUCAGGCCUCAGGACUCUGGCGUUUUCUUCUGUCACUCCUUUUCUACACCUGAAACAAAAGAAUUCAUCCAUUUAUUAUAUUGAAAACCCCUUUGAUCUAUUUUUAUCAGCACAGAAUAUAUAUAAUGUUGGAAUUUCAAUCUGUAGGGAUAAAUUGCAUAUGGGGAUAAGAUUCACAUUAGAUUUUCUCAAAACUAAGAAAAUGAUAUUGAAAUGGCAAACAACAAAUAUGUUUAUUUAUUUAUUUAUUUCUCAUCUUAGAUUCUCUAGUGGUAUGAGUAAAUAUUCAUUUAUAUUAUUUAGGGGUAUAGAGAGAGAG